rnacentral:rRNA from 1 species
AGAAGCAGCCAUCCUUUAAAGAAAGCGUAACAGCUCACUAGUCGAGUCGGCCUGCGCGGAAGAUGUAACGGGGCUAAAUAAUACACCGAAGCUGCGAAUGAAUAUUUAUAUUCAUGGUAGGGGAGCGUUCUGUAUGCCACUGAAGGUGAAUCGAGAGGUUCAUUGGAGGUAUCAGAAGUGAGAAUGCUGACAUAAGUAACGAUAAGAGGGGUGAAAAACCUCUCCGCCGAAAGACCAAGGUUUCCUGUCCAACGUUAAUCGGGACAGGGUGAGUCGACCCCUAAGGCGAGGGCGAAAGCCGUAGUCGAUGGGAAAUAGGUUAAUAUUCCUAUACUUCUUGUUACUGCGAUGGAGUGACGGAGAAGGCUAGGCCAGCACAGCGACGGUAGUUCUGUGUUUAAGGUUGUAGGUUGGAGAUUUAGGUAAAUCCGGAUCUCUAAGACCGAGAACUGAUGACGAUUAUCUUUUCGGAGAUAAGAAGUGGUCGAUGCCAUGCUUCCAGGAAAAACUUCUAAGCUAUAGGUAGCAAGGAAUCGUACCGUAAACCGACACAGGUGGUCAGGUAGAGAAUACUAAGGCGCUUGAGAGAACUCUGGUGAAGGAACUAGGCAAAAUGGUACCGUAACUUCGGGAGAAGGUACGCCCUCAUUACGUGACGAGACUUGCUCUCCGAGCGGAAGAGGGUCGAAGAUACCAGGUGGCUGCGACUGUUUACUAAAAACAUAGCACUCUGCAAACACGAAAGUGGACGUAUAGGGUGUGACGCCUGCCCGGUGCCGGAAGGUUAAUUGAUCGGGUUAGCCCCUUGUGGGCGAAGCUCGUGAUCGAAGCCCCGGUGAACGGCGGCCGUAACUAUAACGGUCCUAAGGUAGCGAAAUUCCUUGUCGGGUAAGUUCCGACCUGCACGAAUGGCGUAACGAUGGCCACGCUGUCUCCACCAGAGACUCAGUGAAAUUGAAUUUGCGGUGAAGAUGCCGUAUACGCGCGGCUAGACGGAAAGACCCCGUGCACCUUUACUAUAGGUUCACACUGGACUUUGAGUUUAUUUGUGUAGGAUAGGUGGGAGACUUUGAAGCAGGAGCGCCAGCUCUUGUGGAGUCGUCCUUGAAAUACCACCCUAUUAAAUUUGGAGUUCUAACUUAGGCCCGUAAUCCGGGUCGAGGACAGUGUGUGCUGGGUAGUUUGACUGGGGCGGUCUCCUCCCAAAGAGUAACGGAGGAGUGCGAAGGUAACCUCAGCACGGUCGGACAUCGUGCAAUGAGUGCAAUGGCAUAAGGUUGCUUAACUGCGAGACUGACAAGUCGAGCAGAUACGAAAGUAGGUCAUAGUGAUCCGGUGGUUCUGAAUGGAAGGGCCAUCGCUCAACGGAUAAAAGGUACGCCGGGGAUAACAGGCUAAUACCCCCCAAGAGUUCACAUCGACGGGGGUGUUUGGCACCUCGAUGUCGGCUCAUCACAUCCUGGGGCUGAAGCAGGUCCCAAGGGUAUGGCUGUUCGCCAUUUAAAGUGGUACGCGAGCUGGGUUUAGAACGUCGUGAGACAGUUCGGUCCCUAUCUGCCGUGCGCGUUGGAAAAUUGAGAAGAGUUGCUCCUAGUACGAGAGGACCGGAGUGAACGAACCGCUGGUGUUCGGGUUGUCAUGCCAAUGGCAUUGCCCGGUAGCUAUGUUCGGAAAGGAUAACCGCUGAAAGCAUAUAAGCGGGAAGCCUCCUUCAAGACUAGUUUUCCCUGGACCUUCGGGUCCUUAGAGAGCCGUUCAAGACUAGGACGUUGAUAGGCAGGGUGUGUAAGUGCUGUAAGGCAUUGAGCUAACCUGUACUAAUUGCUCGAUCGGCUUGACCGU